UACGUAGGGGGCGAGCGUUGUCCGGAUUUAUUGGGCGUAAAGAGCGUGUAGGCGGCCAGGUAGGUCUGCUGUGAAAACUCGAGGCUCAACCUCGAGACGUCGGCGGAAACCAUCUGGCUAGAGUCCGGAAGAGGAGAGUGGAAUUCCUGGUGUAGCGGUGAAAUGCGCAGAUAUCAGGAAGAACACCCGUGGCGAAGGCGGCUCUCUGGGACGGUACUGACGCUGAGGAGCGAGAGCGUGGGGAGCAAACAGG
rnacentral:rRNA from 1 species